UUCAUCUUCAAAGAAGUGGAAACCCUAGCUCAAACAACAUCAACAGCCGACCCCCCCUUCCUCCCCUGCUCUCUCUCGCUCCUCCGGCGACCGGUGCCAAUUCCGGCCGGCUCUCCGACGAAAGGGCACACAACAAACACCACAACCCUCCUCCUUCACUAUAACACCCCCCCACUCCCGCUCGUCACUCUUCUGCAACCACUCACCCGCACCCCUCACCUCACCCUCUCUCCUCUACGAUCAAAAACACAGCAGCAGCGGCGGCGAUGCGUGACGUCGCGACUGGGCAGUGACGGAAGUGGUGGUGUUCAGUGGCGGCGGCGACGUGAUUCUCAGCAGCGACGAAGACGGUGCCAUGUUGACGAUGAAGAUGAUGUGUUGUGACGAUGUUCUGAUGUUGGCGGUGACAGUGGCUCGGUAACUAGCGGCAGAGGCAGUGUUCGUGCACAACAGGUUCAUUCAUUUCAUAUUCAGCUUUGAUUUGGGUUGUUUGGCUCCGACUCCGGUGUUGGUCUCACAACACAGUCGGUUCGGGUCAAAAAUCUGUUUCGGGUUUUGUUUCAGAUCGGUUCGGUCUAGCUCAGAAUUCAGGCGUCGGUAAUAGGGGUGAUUAUACAUUCAGUUUGUUCGGGUUCUCCUAUACAUUCAGUUUGUUCGGGUUCUCCGGGUCAAACGCAGAUUCUCAGGUCAACGGUCAUACUUGUUUGGAUUUGGAUGAUGCAAGGAAUCUAGUAGGAUUGCCUAGAAACGCAUUUAGAUUUUAAUACUUGUUGUACUUUACUUUAUUUUCAAACAUGUUGUAUUCUGUUUCCAAUACUUGUAAUAAUUAAUUAUCAACGAAAUGAAAUUUAAUUAUUUGAAUA